UGGUCAAGUUAUUAAGGGUGCAGGGCGGAUGCCUUGGCACUAGGAGCCGAUGAAGGACGUGAUAAGCUGCGAUAAGCUUCGGGGAGUUGCACGUAAACGUUGAUCCGAAGAUUUCCGAAUGAGGAAACUCACUUAGAGUAAUGUCUAAGUAUCAUUAAGUGAAUACAUAGCUUAAUGAGGGGAACUCAGGGAACUGAAACAUCUAAGUACCGGAAGGAAGAGAAAGAAAUUCGAUUCCGUAAGUAGCGGCGAGCGAACGCGGAUUAGCCCAAACCAAUAAAGUUUUCUUUAUUGGGGUUGCGGACAUAUCAUAACGAAGAGGUAUCGUAAUUGAAGAGGUUUGGAAAGACCCACCACAGAAGGUAAUAGUCCUGUAUGUUAAACGAGAAGACUUCAGAUAUGAUCCAGAGUACCACGGGACACGUGAAACCCUGUGGGAAGCAGGAGGGACCACCCUCCAAGGCUAAAUACUACCUAGUGACCGAUAGCGUAUAGUACCGUGAGGGAAAGGUGAAAAGAACCCCGGGAGGGGAGUGAAAUAGAACCUGAAACC
rnacentral:rRNA from 1 species